rnacentral:snoRNA from 1 species
AAUAAAAUGAUGAAAAAUGUCUUCUGAUUGUGAUUUUCUUUCUCUAUUCUUGAGAAGUUAUUUCACAUUCAAUGUUUGAUGUUAAAUGAGGCAUUUGUCUGAUUGAUUG